CUUCACCGAGCCCAGCCAGAGCGGGUUGGCCUCGUCGCGGCCCUGGCCGUACGUGGCCAGCAUCGCCUGGGCCUC
rnacentral:antisense_RNA from 1 species